rnacentral:rRNA from 1 species
UGGGGAAUUUUGGACAAUGGGCGCAAGCCUGAUCCAGCCAUGCCGCGUGCGGGAAGAAGGCCUUCGGGUUGUAAACCGCUUUUGUCAGGGAAGAAAUCUUCUGAGUUAAUACCUCGGGAGGAUGACGGUACCUGAAGAAUAAGCACCGGCUAACUACGUGCCAGCAGCCGCGGUAAUACGUAGGGUGCAAGCGUUAAUCGGAAUUACUGGGCGUAAAGCGUGCGCAGGCGGUUUUGUAAGACAGAGGUGAAAUCCCCGGGCUCAACCUGGGAACUGCCUUUGUGACUGCAAGGCUUGAGUGCGGCAGAGGGGGGAUGGAAUUCCGCGUGUAGCAGUGAAAUGCGUAGAUAUGCGGAGGAACACCGAUGGCGAAGGCAAUCCCCUGGGGCCUGCACUGACGCUCAUGCACGAAAGCGU